rnacentral:rRNA from 1 species
UCGAACGAGAAAGUGGAGCAAUCCAUGAGUAAAGUGGCGACCGGGUGAGUAACACGUGACUAACCUACCUCCAAGUGGGGAAUAACUCCGGGAAACCGGGGCUAAUACCGCAUAACACCGCAAGGUCAAAGCAGCAAUGCGCUGGGAGAGGGGGUCGCGGCUGAUUAGCUAGUUGGUGAGGUAACGGCCCACCAAGGCGAAGAUCGGUAUCCGGCCUGAGAGGGCGCACGGACACACUGGAACUGAAACACGGUCCAGACUCCUACGGGAGGCAGCAGUGGGGAAUUUUGCGCAAUGGGGGAAACCCUGACGCAGCAACGCCGCGUGGAGGAUGAAGCCCUUUGGGGCGUAAACUCCUUUCGACUCGGAAGAUAAUGACGGUACGAGUGGAAGAAGCACCGGCUAACUCUGUGCCAGCAGCCGCGGUAAUACAGAGGGUGCGAGCGUUGUUCGGAAUUAUUGGGCGUAAAGGGCGCGUAGGCGGUGCCACAAGUCACCUGUGAAAUCUCCAGGCUUAACUUGGAGUCUGCAGGCGAAACUGUGGUGCUGGAGUGUGGGAGAGGUGCGUGGAAUUCCCGGUGUAGCGGUGAAAUGCGUAGAUAUCGGGAGGAACACCUGUGGCGAAAGCGGCGCACUGGACCAUAACUGACGCUGAGGCGCGAAAGCUAGGGGAGCAAACAGGAUUAGAUACCCUGGUAGUCCUAGCCCUAAACGAUGAUUGCUUGGUGUAGCAGGUACCCAAUCCUGCUGUGCCGCAGCUAACGCGAUAAGCAAUCCGCCUGGGGAGUACGGUCGCA